GAGCUCUCUUCACUCCAUUUCUGAAAGGAGGUGAUAGGUAUGCCAUGGCUAGCAGGUUCAUGAUUACCCCUAGCCAUUAGUCGAGUUUGAAGAGCGUAGGCUACGGGUUCGCAUGAGUCUGGGAGGCAUGGCUACUCUGAUCUUUUUGGCAUUGGAGUGAAGGGAGCUCGA
rnacentral:pre_miRNA from 1 species